ACGGAAGGCAGCAGUGGGGAAUAUUGCACAAUGGGGGAAACCCUGAUGUAGCGACGCCGCGUGAAGGAAGAAGUAUCUCGGUAUGUAAACUUCUAUCAGCAGGGAAGAAAAUGACGGUACCUGACUAAGAAGCCCCGGCUAACUACGUGCCAGCAGCCGCGGUAAUACGUAGGGGGCAAGCGUUAUCCGGAUUUACUGGGUGUAAAGGGAGCGUAGACGGCAUUGUAAGUCUGAUGUGAAAGGCAGGGGCUCAACUCCUGGACUGCAUUGGAAACUACAGAGCUUGAGUGCCGGAGGGGUAAGCGGAAUUCCUAGUGUAGCGGUGAAAUGCGUAGAUAUUAGGAGGAACACCAGUGGCGAAGGCGGCUUACUGGACGGUAACUGACGUUGAGGCUCGAGAGCGUGGGGAGCAAACAGGAUUAGAUACCCUGGUA
rnacentral:rRNA from 1 species